rnacentral:rRNA from 1 species
UACGUAGGGUGCAAGCGUUGUCCGGAAUUAUUGGGCGUAAAGAGCUCGUAGGCGGCUUGUCGCGUCUGCCGUGAAAUCCUCAGGCUCAACCUGAGGCGUGCGGUGGGUACUGGCAAGCUAGAGUGCGGUAGGGGAGAUUGGAACUCCUGGUGUAGCGGUGGAAUGCGCAGAUAUCAGGAAGAACACCCGUGGCUAAGGCGGCUCUCUAGUACGGUACUGACGCUGAGACGCGAAAGCGUGGGGAGCGAACAGG